rnacentral:rRNA from 1 species
UCAGUCGCGUUGUCCGGAACUCAGCCUUGCUUUUGCUUGGUGCACUUUCCGGAUGACGGGUCAGCAUCGAUUUUGACCGUCGGAAAAGGGCUGGAGUAAUGUGGCACCUCCGGGUGUGUUAUAGACUCUGGUCGCAUACGGCGGUUGGGAUCGAGGAACGCAGCGCGCCGCGAGGCAGGGGUUCGCCCACUUUCGCGCUUAGGAUGCUGGCAUAAUGGCUUUAAACGACCCGUCUUGAAACACGGACCAAGGAGUCUAACAUACUUGCGAGUGUUUGGGUGGAAAACCCGAGCGCGUAAUGAAAGUGAAAGUUGAGAUCCCUGUCGUGGGGAGCAUCGACGCCCGGACCAGACGUUCUCUGACGGAUCCGCGGUAGAGCAUGUAUGUUGGGACCCGAAAGAUGGUGAACUAUGCCUGAAUAGGGUGAAGCCAGAGGAAACUCUGGUGGAGGCUCGUAGCGAUUCUG